ensembl:snoRNA U3 Small nucleolar RNA U3
AAUUCUGUGCUUUGAGGAGCCAUUUUCAUAGUUUGUUACUAGAGAAGUUUCUCUGAGCGUGGAGUGUACCAGAAAGCAUGAGGAGGAAGUGCAGUGCUCUUGCCUUAGCUGUGAAAUCCGUUGCCUCAUUGCAACUGCUGUUUUUCAUUGAUGGCCCAUCUUCUCUUCCUUUGGGAGAGAAAAGAAGGGGAGGAUGCAGUCUGAGUGGU